rnacentral:rRNA from 1 species
UACGGGGGGAGCAAGCGUUGUUCGGAUUUACUGGGCGUAAAGGGCGCGUAGGCGGCCACCGCAAGUCGAUUGUGAAAUCUCCGGGCUUAACUCGGAAAGGUCAACCGAUACUGCGGGGCUAGAGUGCAGAAGGGGCAACUGGAAUUCUCGGUGUAGCGGUGAAAUGCGUAGAUAUCGAGAGGAACACCGGUGGUGUAGACGGCUUUCUGGACAAUCACUGACGCUGAGGUACGAAAGCGUGGGUAGCAAACAGG